GGUCCGUUAGCUCAGUCGGCAGAGCGUGGUGCUAAUAACGCUAAGGUCAUGGGUUCGAGUCCCAUACGGACCA
rfam:Nematostella vectensis strain CH2 x CH6 NEMVEscaffold_248_Cont20724, whole genome shotgun sequence.